GCGGAAGUAGCUUGCUACUUUGCCGGCGAGCGGCGGACGGGUGAGUAAUGUCUGGGAAACUGCCUGAUGGAGGGGGAUAACUACUGGAAACGGUAGCUAAUACCGCAUGACCUCGAAAGAGCAAAGUGGGGGAUCUUCGGACCUCACGCCAUCGGAUGUGCCCAGAUGGGAUUAGCUAGUAGGUGAGGUAAUGGCUCACCUAGGCGACGAUCCCUAGCUGGUCUGAGAGGAUGACCAGCCACACUGGAACUGAGACACGGUCCAGACUCCUACGGGAGGCAGCAGUGGGGAAUAUUGCACAAUGGGCGCAAGCCUGAUGCAGCCAUGCCGCGUGUGUGAAGAAGGCCUUAGGGUUGUAAAGCACUUUCAGCGAGGAGGAAGGCAUCACACUUAAUACGUGUGGUGAUUGACGUUACUCGCAGAAGAAGCACCGGCUAACUCCGUGCCAGCAGCCGCGGUAAUACGGAGGGUGCAAGCGUUAAUCGGAAUUACUGGGCGUAAAGCGCACGCAGGCGGUUUGUUAAGUCAGAUGUGAAAUCCCCGCGCUUAACGUGGGAACUGCAUUUGAAACUGGCAAGCUAGAGUCUUGUAGAGGGGGGUAGAAUUCCAGGUGUAGCGGUGAAAUGCGUAGAGAUCUGGAGGAAUACCGGUGGCGAAGGCGGCCCCCUGGACAAAGACUGACGCUCAGGUGCGAAAGCGUGGGGAGCAAACAGGAUUA
rnacentral:rRNA from 1 species